rnacentral:rRNA from 1 species
GAUGAACGCUGGCGGCGUGCCUAAUACAUGCAAGUCGAGCGAACAGACGAGGAGCUUGCUCCUCUGACGUUAGCGGCGGACGGGUGAGUAACACGUGGAUAACCUACCUAUAAGACUGGGAUAACUUCGGGAAACCGGAGCUAAUACCGGAUAAUAUAUUGAACCGCAUGGUUCAAUAGUGAAAGACGGUUUUGCUGUCACUUAUAGAUGGAUCCGCGCCGCAUUAGCUAGUUGGUAAGGUAACAGCUUACCAAGGCAACGAUGCGUAGCCGACCUGAGAGGGUGAUCGGCCACACUGGAACUGAGACACGGUCCAGACUCCUACGGGAGGCAGCAGUAGGGAAUCCUCCGCAAUGGGCGAAAGCCUGACGGAGCAACGCCGCGUGAGUGAUGAAGGUCUUCGGAUCGUAAAACUCUGUUAUUAGGGAAGAACAAAUGUGUAAGUAACUAUGCACGUCUUGACGGUACCUAAUCAGAAAGCCACGGCUAACUACGUG